AAGAGCUGAGUGACAGCACUCAGGCCCAGAGUUCAAGCCCCACAACUGGGGGGGAAAAAAAGCCUAAACUUCUACACAAGUCAUUUGAACGAAAGAGUCAAAAUUACCUGAAUGGCAAGAUUGUCUGGUUAUUAACUGUAUUAUCUUGUGAGGUCAAAAUCCUUAAAGUAAUUAUAAAUUUAAUACAUUUUUUAGAGAGUUGUAUUUUUAGUGUUCUAUUGAAAUAAUUCACAUAUGACACAGUUCACUCAUUUAAAAUGAGUGAGUAGUUUUUAGUAUAUUCACAGGGUUGUACAACCUUUACCACUAUUACAUUUUCACUACUAAAAAAAAAGCUCCAUUAUCUAGCAAGAUUUGAAGCAGAUACUGUGUGGCCAUAUUCAUAAUAGCAUUCUUCAUAAUAGCUAAAAGGUGGACAUACCCCAAGUAUCCAUCAGUAAAUAAAUGGAUAAACAAAAUAUGGAGCAUACUUACAAGAGAAUAGUUUUCAGACUUAAAAAGGAAGGAAAUCUUAUUGUAUGUUAAAACAUUAUGCUAAGUGAAAUCUGUUAGUUCCAAGAACACAAAUAUUGUAUGAUUCCACUCAUUUAAACUGCAAAAAGUAGACUUAGAGAGAGAGAAAGUAAAAUGCUGGAUGCCAGGAGCCG